ACACUCCUGCGGGAGGCAGCAGUGGGGAAUUUUGGACAAUGGGCGAAAGCCUGAUCCAGCAAUGCCGCGUGAGUGAAGAAGGCCUUCGGGUUGUAAAGCUCUUUUGUCAGGGAAGAAACGGUGAAAGCUAAUAUCUUUUGCUAAUGACGGUACCUGAAGAAUAAGCACCGGCUAACUACGUGCCAGCAGCCGCGGUAAUACGUAGGGUGCAAGCGUUAAUCGGAAUUACUGGGCGUAAAGCGUGCGCAGGCGGUUUUGUAAGUCUGAUGUGAAAUCCCCGGGCUCAACCUGGGAAUUGCAUUGGAGACUGCAAGGCUAGAAUCUGGCAGAGGGGGGUAGAAUUCCACGUGUAGCAGUGAAAUGCGUAGAUAUGUGGAGGAACACCGAUGGCGAAGGCAGCCCCCUGGGUCAAGAUUGACGCUCAUGCACGAUAGCGUGGGGAGCAAACAGGAUUAGAAACCCUGGUAGUCCCAUGA
rnacentral:rRNA from 1 species